CGAACUGCCCAUGAAAAAUAUGCCCAAGAUCUGAAGAUGUACCAACCGAACAGCCCAAAUAUUUUAAGAAGCAAUACAACUGUAAUCAGACGUGAUAAUGACAAAUGAUAAUAGGAGCUACAACCCAAGUUUUGACAGAAGCUGGCGCCAUCUUGGAGUCUCUUCAUCGAAAAUGUAGGUUAAAGGAGAAAUUAGAACUCCGCUACCUCCAAUCGCUCUCAGUUGCUGUACAGACUUGUACAGUGCCUUUUUUGGGACACAAAUGACUAUGGCGUAAUAAUCUGGAGAAACUUUUCCAUCACGUUUGCAGUAAACUGGACUUACAGUUGGCCCCUGCAACCC
rnacentral:misc_RNA from 1 species